GGAGGGUCAAACUAUAUGAUCUGCCAGGUUACAGGAUUCUACAGGUAGGAUUGGAUGAGAUGAAUCAAUAUCUUGUCUCAGACAUUAGCUGGAUGAAUCUAGAAACUAUAAGUAGGAUAAAGGCUUCUUCAGUUCGGGAGUAUGCAGUAUAUUAAAAAACAGAUCUGCUGAUCAUUGCUAUGAAGAAAAAAUACACUUGUCUUGGGCAAGACAAUACAGAUAUUGAGAAUUGGAAAAAAGAGUGUCAAGUUUUGGAUAGAGCAGCACAGCAAGGAUGGCAAAGGAAAGGAGAGAACUAUUCCAAGUGUGUUCCCUUUCAAGCUCCAAACAUCGGGAUAGCCUUUGUAGCUUAUCAUGUACAAGUAAGGAUUCAGAGAAUCCCAGACUUCCUGGAGAACAACAUGCUGCCCACACUCAUUACCAAAGAAGAGAGAAUUCUUCUGAGAUGCCAACAGAAUAAAACAUUUUUAGUGUCGGUUUCUUGGCCUCUAUACAACAUUUUAUACUUAUCAGAUCCAAAUGAUGUGAUAUCACCAGAAAAAGUUUCCACUAG
ensembl:lncRNA